GACACGGCCCAGACUCCUACGGGAGGCAGCAGUAGGGAAUCUUCCGCAAUGGACGAAAGUCUGACGGAGCAACGCCGCGUGAGUGAUGAAGGCUUUCGGGUCGUAAAACUCUGUUGUUAGGGAAGAACAAGUGCUAGUUGAAUAAGCUGGCACCUUGACGGUACCUAACCAGAAAGCCACGGCUAACUACGUGCCAGCAGCCGCGGUAAUACGUAGGUGGCAAGCGUUAUCCGGAAUUAUUGGGCGUAAAGCGCGCGCAGGUGGUUUCUUAAGUCUGAUGUGAAAGCCCACGGCUCAACCGUGGAGGGUCAUUGGAAACUGGGAGACUUGAGUGCAGAAGAGGAAAGUGGAAUUCCAUGUGUAGCGGUGAAAUGCGUAGAGAUAUGGAGGAACACCAGUGGCGAAGGCGACUUUCUGGUCUGUAACUGACACUGAGGCGCGAAAGCGUGGGGAGCAAACAGGAUUAGAUACCCUGGUAGUCCACGCCGUAAACGAUGAGUGCUAAGUGUUAGAGGGUUUCCGCCCUUUAGUGCUGAAGUUAACGCAUUAAGCACUCCGCCUGGG
rnacentral:rRNA from 1 species